AUGUAUACGGGCGGAAGGGGGCUUCGGCUCUCGCCUUUAGAGUGGCCCAAGUGGGAUUAGCUAGUUGGUGAGGUAAUGGCUCACCAAGGCGACGAUCCGUAGCUGGUUUGAGAGGAUGAUCAGCCACACUGGGACUGAGACACGGCCCAGACUCCUACGGGAGGCAGCAGUGGGGAAUUUUGCACAAUGGGCGCAAGCCUGAUGCAGCCAUGCCGCGUGCGUGAAGAAGGCCUUCGGGUUGUAAAGCACUUUCAGUCAGGAGGAAAGGUUAGUAGUUAAUACCUGCUAGUUAUGACGUUACUGUCAGAAGAAGCACCGGCUAACUCCGUGCCAGCAGCCGCGGUAAUACGGAGGGUGCGAGCGUUAAUCGGAAUUACUGGGCGUAAAGCGUACGCAGGCGGUUUGUUAAGCGAGAUGUGAAAUCCCCGGGCUCAACCUGGGAACUGCAUUUCGGAACUGGCAAACUAGAGUGGGGUAGAGGGUGGUAGAAUUUCAGGUGUAGCGGUGAAAGGCGUUUUCAUCUGAAGGAACACCGAUGGCGAAGGCAGCCACCCUGGGUCAUACACUGACGCUCA
rnacentral:rRNA from 1 species